GACGAACGCUGGCGGCGUGCUUAACACAUGCAAGUCGAACGGAAAGGCCCUGCUUGCAGGGUACUCGAGUGGCGAACGGGUGAGUAACACGUGGGUGAUCUGCCCUGCACUUCGGGAUAAGCCUGGGAAACUGGGUCUAAUACCGGAUAGGAGCCAUUUUUAGUGUGAUGGUUGGAAAGUUUUUUCGGUGUAGGAUGAGCUCGCGGCCUAUCAGCUUGUUGGUGGGGUGAUGGCCUACCAAGGCGGCGACGGGUAGCCGGCCUGAGAGGGUGGACGGCCACAUUGGGGCUGAGAUACGGCCCAGACUCCUACGGGAGGCAGCAGUGGGGAAGAUUGCACAAUGGGCGCAAGCCUGAUGCAGCGACGCCGCGUGGGGGAUGACGGCCUUCGGGUUGGAAACUCCCUUCGCUAGGGACGAAGCUUUUUGUGACGGUACCUAGAUAAGAAGCACCGGCUAACUACGUG
rnacentral:rRNA from 1 species